UACGUAGGGUGCGAGCGUUGUCCGGAAUUAUUGGGCGUAAAGGGCUCGUAGGCGGUUUGUCGCGUCGGGAGUGAAAACACCGGGCUUAACUCGGUGCUUGCUUUCGAUACGGGCAGACUAGAGGUAUGCAGGGGAGAACGGAAUUCCUGGUGUAGCGGUGAAAUACGCAGAUAUCAGGAGGAACACCGGUGGCGAAGGCGGUUCUCUGGGCAUUACCUGACGCUGAGGAGCGAAAGCGUGGGGAGCGAACAGG
rnacentral:rRNA from 1 species